rnacentral:rRNA from 1 species
AGAGUUUGAUCCUGGCUCAGGAUGAACGCUAGCGAUAGGCCUUACACAUGCAUGUCGAGGGGCAGCUCGAGAAAGUAGCAAUACCUUUCUUGGAGGCGACCGGCGGAUGGGUGAGUAACGCGUAUGCAACCUACCUGCUACAUUGGGAUAGCUCGUUGAAAGACGAAUUAAUACCUUAUAAUGCAAAAUUUUCGCAUGAAUAUUUUGUUAAAGAUUUAUUGGUAGCAGAUGGGCAUGCGUUCCAUUAGCUAGUUGGUGAGGUAACUGCUCACCAAGGCAUCGAUGGAUAGGGGAACUGAGAGGUUUGUCCCCCACACUGGAACUGAGGCACGGUCCAGACUCCUACGGGAGGCAGCAGUGAGGAAUAUUGGUCAAUGGAGGCAACUCUGAACCAGCCAUGUCGCGUGAAGGAUGACGGCCCUACGGGUUGUAAACUUCUUUUAUAAGGGAAUAAAGUGAGCCACGUGUGGCUUUUUGCAUGUACCUUACGAAUAAGGAUCGGCUAACUCCGUGCCAGCAGCCGCGGUAAUACGGAGGAUCCAAGCGUUAUCCGGAUUUAUUGGGUUUAAAGGGUGCGCAGGCGGAAUAUUAAGUCGGCGGUGAAAGUUUGCAGCUUAACUGUAAAAUUGCCGUUGAUACUGGUGUUCUUGAGUGUAUAUGAAGUAGGCGGAAUUUGUAGUGUAGCGGUGAAAUGCAUAGAUAUUACAAGGAACUCCGAUUGCGAAGGCAGCUUACUAAAUUACAACUGACGCUCAGGCACGAAGGCGUGGGUAUCAAACAGGAUUAGAUACCCUGGUAGUCCACGCAGUAAACUAUGAUUACUCGCUGUUUGCGAUACACAGUAAGCGGCUUAGCGAAAGCGUUAAGUAAUCCACCUGGGGAGUACGUUCGCAAGAAUGAAACUCAAAGGAAUUGACGG